rnacentral:rRNA from 1 species
GAUGAACGCUAGCGGUAUGCUUAACACAUGCAAGUCGUACGGAAAAGAAAUUUUUAGUGGCGGACGGGUGAGUAACGCGUGAGAAUUUGCCUUUAGGAAGAGGAUAACAUUUAGAAAUAAUUGCUAAAACUCUAUAUGCCGUUUGGUGAAAAAAGUAAUUUGCCUAAAGAGAAGCUCGCGUCUGAUUAGCUAGUUGGUGGGGUAAAGGCCUACCAAGGCGACGAUCAGUAGCUGGUCUGAGAGGAUGAUCAGCCACACUGGAACUGAGACACGGUCCAGACUCCUACGGGAGGCAGCAGUGAGGAAUAUUGCACAAUGGAGGAAACUCUGAUGCAGCGAUGCCGCGUGAGGGAAGAAGGUUUUAGGAUUGUAAACCUCUGUCUUCGGGGAUGAUAAUGACGGUACCCGAGGAGGAAGCUCCGGCUAACUACGUGCCAGCAGCCGCGGUAAUAC